rnacentral:rRNA from 1 species
GAACGAACGCUGGCGGCAUGCCUAACACAUGCAAGUCGAACGAGACCUUCGGGUCUAGUGGCGCACGGGUGCGUAACGCGUGGGAACCUGCCUUUAGGUUCGGAAUAACAGUGAGAAAUUACUGCUAAUACCGGAUGAUGUCUUCGGACCAAAGAUUUAUCGCCUUUAGAUGGGCCCGCGUUGGAUUAGGUAGUUGGUGGGGUAAAGGGCUCACCAAGCCAACGAUCUGUAGCUGGUCUGAGAGGACGACCAGCCACACUGGAACUGAGACACGGUCCAGACUCCUACGGGAGGCAGCAGUGGGGAAUUUUCCGCAAUGGGCGAAAGCCUGACGGAGCAAUACCGCGUGAGGGAAGACUGCCUAUGGGUUGUAAACCUCUUUUUUCAGGAGGAAUAAAAUGACGUGUACCUGAAGAAUAAGCAUCGGCUAACUCCGUG